AUUUGACUCAUGAUUUUAAAUCUUUAUGUGAUAAUCUUAAAGCAAGAAAACACAUUUUGGAUGAGCUCAACAGCACUGGUCAGAAACACCAACUUAGAGGAUUUGAGCUGCUAAAAGCCAUUCAUCUAGAACCAAAUCCCUUCGACAUAGAAAGAGAUUUAAUAACUCCAACAUUCAAAUUGAAGAGACCACAAUUUCUCAAGUACUACAAGGAUCAUAUUGAUCAACUAUACAAGGAAGCAAAGGGAGCAAUGGUGUAAACCAUGCAGCAAGUGGCCAUGCUGUGUGCAACAAUUUUAAGAUUUCUGCUAGUUAUGAAGAAAAAUCCAUUUGGCAUUCUGUGUAUU